CCGAUAUAAAGGAGGAGAGGCAAUCAGAUCCUGUCGACCAGCUCUAAGCAGGAACAGUUCAAGAUGAAGAACCUCGCCAUCAGUAUGUUUCUCGUACUAGAACGCAACAUCCUUAAUUCAAGCUGCAACCUCUGUGCCCAACAGACGAGGACAAGGAGCAAGCGAAGAAGAAAACUAAAGAGAAGAAAGGCCGACUGGCCGACAGAGGCACAAGAUGAGUCUGUUACAUUCUGACGACUCGUGUUAUAAUACACCACGACACUUCCCUCAACACCUGAAGCUUAUAUAAGAUGGGAAAUGCAGAAAAUCAAAGUUUGGAGAUAAAUUUAGAGUGCAUACCUCAAAACGUGGUGUUUUUUUUUUUUUGCCUUCAGAACAGAAACUGCUUUGCAGACUUCGACACCCGUUAAGACCCGAAGGCCCCGUUUGUUGACAGCCAAAUGUCGCUUCUCAGGCGUUGGCCUGCCUACCUACUGCGGAGAAACACGAGCCAUGCCAGCGCAGAGUCCGGCGGCGCUCAUAAGAUAAAAAAAGACGUCUUGGGCGAAGAACAGUGCGGCUGACUUCAGAGAAUUUUCGAACCAUGCCAGUCCUUGACGUCGCCUGUCAUAUGGAUCAAGAUGAUGUUGGCGUUCUUCCAAGAUUCUGGUAUCCUCCCCAUCGAGAGACACUUCGUAUACAGGGUGGCCAGUUCUUCUGACAUAAUCUCUCCACCGUCUUUCAACAGCGUCUCAAAAGGCAUGACAUCGGAUGUCGUCUGGCUUCAGAAUGCUAAUAGCUACCAGUAUAAAAGACGCUAGAAAUUCAGAUCCUGUCAACCAGCUCGAAGUACGAAGAGUUCGAGAUGAAGGGCCGCACCAUUACUUUGGUUCUAGUAGUAGUGCUGUGUGCGAUAAUCAGUUCCGAUUACGUCGAUGGAAAACCUGGGGAACUGGCAGAUAAGGUCGUCGUCGCACUCGGAGAAGUAGAAGCAAGAAGUCUGUAUCUGCCACACCAACGUCAACAUGUACAGGUCGAGGCGCGUGAAAGAACGAAAGAGCCACACGCUAAACGACCAGGUCCAACGCGGAGAAGUCCUUAUUUCUACCAGGGAAAACGUCACACUCGCAGGCAAAGGACGAACUUCAAUAUCAGUGCCCCUAACCCACCUUAAUUCUGUUUGGACUAAAGAAGCACCACCCGGGCUAUUUUAUAACUGAUGUUUGUUGUAGUUAUUGCUGGUUAUGGCUCGUUACAAAUAGUUGAAGGAAUUCAGCUGAACCCAAUAAAUAUGAAAAAGAUGUCUUAAUGAAGAAGUAAAUGAAAGCGUCAGCGUCAGUCUUUUCAAAAUGAUAAGACGGCUUUGGCAACGAAAGACCACUGCGUAUUUAUUUGUACUGCGGCGGCACUUGCGCAAAACGUUUAAAAUAAAUUUUUCGCCUACAAG